AACCUGGUUGGGCGGUCCGCCUCACGGUGUGUACUGUCCGGCCGGGCUCUACCUCUUGGUGAGCCCGUAUGCCCUUCGCUGGGUGUGCGGGGGAACCAGGACCUUUACCUUGAGAAAAUUAGAGUGUUCAAAGCAGGCAUCCGCUCGAAUACAUUAGCAUGGCAUAAUAAAAUAGGACGUGCGGUUCUAUUUUGUUGGUUUCUAGAGUCGCCGUA
rnacentral:rRNA from 1 species